UUUCCGUAGGUGAACCUGCGGAAGGAUCAUUAUUACAUAACCCACGUUCGACGGCUGUCCCUGCCCCGACUGCCUGUGCACGCCCGCGUGCCUUCACACACCUCCAUCUCACCCCUAUGUGCCCCACCGCCUGGGUCCCCCUUUGGCUUGUUCGGAGUGGGGCUUACGUUUUCACACCAUCUUUGUAUGCAGUGUUGAAUGUAUUUUUUGUUUUUUCUGUCUCGCCUUCAUUACAACUUUCACCGACCGAUCUCUUGUCUCUCGCAUCGAUGACGUACU
rnacentral:misc_RNA from 1 species